rnacentral:rRNA from 1 species
UACGUAGGAGACGAGCGUUGUCCGGAAUUACUGGGCGUAAAGCGCGUGUAGGCGGAUGGGCAAGUCUGCUGUGAAAGCUCCUGGCUUAACCGGGAGUGGUCGGUGGAAACUGCCAAUCUGGAGGACGGUAGAGGUAGGUAGAAUUCCCGGUGUAGUGGUGAAAUGCGUAGAGAUCGGGAGGAAUACCGGUGGCGAAGGCGGCAUCCUGGACCGAGAUUGACACUGAGGAGCGAAAGCCAGGGGAGCAAACGGG